UACGGGGGGGGCAAGCGUUGUUCGGAAUUACUGGGCGUAAAGGGCUCGUAGGCGGCCAACUAAGUCGGACGUGAAAUCCCUCGGCUUAACCGGGGAACUGCGUCCGAUACUGGAUGGCUUGAGUUUGGGAGAGGGAUGCGGAAUUCCAGGUGUAGCGGUGAAAUGCGUAGAUAUCUGGAGGAACACCGGUGGCGAAGGCGGCAUCCUGGACCGAUACUGACGCUGAGGAGCGAAAGCCCAGGGGAGCAAAGCGGGG
rnacentral:rRNA from 1 species